AAAGUUGUUGCAGUUAAAAAGCUCGUAGUUGGAUUUCGGGACGGCACGGUCGGUCCGCCGCAAGGUGUGUCACUGGCCGGGCUGUUCUUCCUCGCAAAGACUGCGUGUGCUCUUAGCUGAGUGUGCGCAGGACUUGCGACGUUUACUUUGAAAAAAUUAGAGUGUUCAAAGCAGGCCAUCGCUUGAAUACAUAAGCAUGGAAUAAUGGAAUAGGACUUUGGUUCUAUUUUGUUGGUUUCUGGAACCGAAGUAAUGAUUAAGAGGGACAGUUGGGGGCAUUCGUAUUUCGUUGUCAGAGGUGAAAUUCUUGGAUUUACGAAAGACGAACUACUGCGAAGCAUUUGCCAAGAUGUUUUCAUUAAUCAAGAACGAAAGUUAGAGGAUCGAAGACGAUCAGAUACCGUCCUAGUUCUAACCAUAAACGAUGCCGACUAGGGAUCAG
rnacentral:rRNA from 1 species